UACGUAGGGUGCGAGCGUUAAUCGGAAUUACUGGGCGUAAAGCGUGCGCAGGCGGUUUGUUAAGACAGAUGUGAAAUCCCCGGGCUUAACCUGGGAACUGCAUUUGUGACUGGCAAGCUAGAGUAUGGCAGAGGGGGGGUAGAAUUCCACGUGUAGCAGUGAAAUGCGUAGAUAUGCGGAGGAACACCGAUGGCGAAGGCAAUCCCCUGGGCCUGCACUGACGCUCAUGCACGAAAGCGUGGGGAGCAAACAGG
rnacentral:rRNA from 1 species